AAAUAAAGAAAGAUAUUUUCAUGGGCAGAAGAUGCCACUCCUCUUCCCUUACUCCAUUACGACACUUGGAUUAAAAUUAAGUGAUAGAACAAGUAAAUUCAAAAAAGGAAAAAAGAACUAAAUAAAUCAGUUCGAUCCAUCCUUCUGGCUUACCUUCCACAGUCCUCUUGUCCCCUCUUGCUGGUAAAUGUUCAUGAAGUUGCCUAUCAUUCCUCCUUGAAUGGUGUUGCUUUGCGCUUGCAUCCGAAUCUAGAGAUUAUUUUAAAGACCAACAUCAGAAAGAAACUACCACAAUCCCACCCACAACCAAUGUAUACCUCUGACAGUCAGUCCGUCAGUCAGUUGCUUAAUAACCAUUAGCAAGGAAAAAACUGUCAUAUAAAUACUGCUAUGAUGCUACCUUAAAAUGACUAAAACGUAUAAAAAUUUAUUCUUAGGAACUCUGAGAUCUCCAAAAAGCAUCUAAGAGAGUCCAGAGUCCUACGUACAGCAGUUCAUUAAAUGUCAAAAGGAGAAACUGAUUUUUGUGAAAAAAGUCUUUCUAGGAUAGAAAACAGCAUACUUCCCUACUACUAUAUAGGUGAGAGAAAAGUUAAUUUCAAAGGUUUAAUCUAAUUAAUGAGUUAUCCAGUGUACCUGGCAGCACGAAGCACAGGCAAGCAUAGUUCUUAAAUUAGCUGCUCCAAGCCACUACAGUCUCCAGCCAGCUGAACCAAAAGGUAUGCAGGCGAGCUAGCCAAGUGACAGCCACAUGAUACCUGUUACACUCUGUUACACUUUAAUUAGUGGAAUCCACAUGACCAAGAUUCCAACAUAAAAAGAAUGUUUGAUGUAGCUCUUUGCAUUUUUAAGAAUGAAGAAAGAUUUUUUACUACAAAAUGUGUACCUUAUUUUUGUUUAGGGAGCAAAUACGUUACCACUAACUUCUAAAAGAACUGUUAUUGCCACACGAACGUGGGAAAAUAAACCAAGAUACAGGAACUGCCUUCCCAUAAGGCCUAAGAUAUAAUUAAGAAAUUAAUGAGAGUACGAAUAUUUUUCUCUAGCUCUCUUACCCCAACACUGGUAAACUUAUGGCAAAGGUACCUUGUAUUUCUUCCUUACCCACGAGGUCCCUUUGCUACAAUGCAUAUAUAACUGUAGUGUACCCAGAAUACUGCAGAUGGCUGUAAUGCUUGUCAGAAUCCCCUAUUAGAUUGAAGGCUCUCUGAGGGCAGGGUCCUUGUCUUACUCAUAUUUGGAUUCUAACCAUGGCGUAUACCAACUGGUACAAGAUAGAAGCAUAGAAUACUAGUUAAAUAGUGGGGCAGAAAAAGAAAAGAGGGGAAGUAGGAAAGGAAUACUCUGUGGGGUUCAAAAAGUAAGUCAUUCCUAAUUUUUAUUUUAUUUAAUUAGUUGCUUCCAAAAAAGGAUUUAAAGAUGCUCUAUCCCUAGUAUUUUCAAUAAGGUCUCCUAAUGUGUUAUGUAAUCUAAUUGUAGUAAUUAAAUUUUUUCAUCUGUAUUUCCUGAAAUAAAAUUUAACAAAGAAGAUGCAGCAUGAGCCACUGCACCCGGCCUCUAAAACGAUUUCGUAAAAUUCAAAAUCCAACAAAAACACAGGUGGGUCCAGAUGUGCAAAUUAUUAGCUCACUAAGUGAAAGCCUAGCCCCUCAUAUUUAUUCUCAAUGAAAAUGUAAGUGAAGAAGUUCAAGACAGAAUCAGGAAAAACAAGCCUACUUUCCUCCAUCCGAUAUGCCUGUCCUAUUAUCCUCUCCAAACCACAACCACGUUGUGGCAUGGACACUCCCCGGGUGUCUUUCUGCAUUUCCCCACUUCCUUCUUGAAUUGCAAUCAGGGUUUCUGCUGCCCUCACCCUCAAAACUCCCCUCUUCAAGGUGACCAACUGACAUCUUUGUUGCUAAGUUAAAUGAGGCUUUUCAAGUAGGAUCUUGUAUAAGCUCUUUGCAGUGUGUGCCACUGUUUACCCUUUGUCCUACUUGUAGCUGUCUCCUCCCUGUUCUGCUGUAGCAUCACCCCCUCUGACUUCUUUUCUUUUCUCUACAGCAUCCUACCUGUGUCUGCUGGGGUUCCCCAGAAAUCUAUCCUAUGCUUCUUCUCUCCUUACUGUACAUGUUCCCUGUGUGAGCUCACCUACUCCCAAGGCUUCAACUGCCAUCUAAAGGCUGGCCAGGCACGGUGGCUCAUGCCUGUAAUCCCAGCACUUUGGGAAGCCAGGGCAGGCAGAUCACUGCACCUCAGGAGUUUGAGACCAGCCUGGACAACAUGGCAAAACCCCAUCUCUAUAAAAAAUAUAAAAGUAGCGCCAGACACGGUGGCUCACACCUGUAAUCCCAGCACUUUGGGAGGCCGAGACGGGUGGAUCACUUGAGGUCAGGAGUUUAAGACCAGCCUAGACAACAUGGUAAAACCCCGUCUCUACUAAAAAUACAAAAAACUGGCCGGUUGUCAUAGCUGGUGCCUGUAAUCCCAGCUACUCGGGAGGCUGAGGCAGGAGAAUUGCUUGAACCUGGGAGGCAGAGGUUGCAGUGAGCCUGGGCAACCGAGUGAAACGCCAUCUAAAAAAAAAAAUUGUGUGUGUGUGUUUGUGUGUGUGCAGCUAGGUGCAGUGGCUUGUUGUGCCUAUAGUUCCAGCUAUGUAGGGGGCUGCAAUGAGAGGAUCACUUGAGCCUGGGAGGUAGAGGCUGCUGUAAGCCAUUUUGUGCCACUGCACUCCAGCCUGGGUGACAAAGCAAGACCCUGUCUCAAAAUAAAUAAAUGAAAAAUAAAAUAAAAGACUGAUGACUCCAAAUCCAUGCUUCCAACAUGGAUCCAAAGACACAUUUCCAAUCUUCCAAGAUUCUCCAUUUAGAUGUCCUGUGUAUACCUUCAGAUAGGGUCCCACACUGAACUACUUCUCUUCCUUCUCCAAACAGUCAUCUCUCCUCUUGUGUUUCCUAAACCAGGACAUGGAAGCUCCAGCUACACACUGGCAAAAACCACCAAUUGAGACAUUAGUCUUGGCUCCUCCUUCCCUUCUACCCGCUUCAUGUAUGGAAACCUCAUAUUAGGUCACGUAGUGCUAUCAGUCCUACACCCUAAAUAGUUUUCUAGCCUGUCUUCUUUUUCCUCAUCCCCAAAACCAAUUCAGAUCCUCAUCUAGUCUUCCUACAUGACAGCCCUGCUUCUAGUGCUCCCUGUCUCUUAAUUCUUUCUCUCCAUGGCAGGCAGGUGAUGUUUACAAUGUAAAGCUGAUCAGGUCCAUCCUCCUACUUAAACACUUUCAGUGGCUUCUGUCUGCCAUAGAUAUAGCAAACUCAAAUGCUGACAGGUACCAAGAAAGCAGAUGCCAUGAGUGAAUGAUCCAGGCUGGGUCGAACUGCACACACAUAUACUAUGUGAGUGACAGAGGUUUUGUAAACCAGAGACAGUAUCCUUCACCCCAGCUACUACUGUCAUAACUGAAUGAAUGUGGGCCUAAUGUUGAUUUCUCUCAAGAAGAUGGAGUCCCAGAUUUUUAUGUGCAAUUUCUCAUUUUUAAAAUAUUGGCUCAAUUAAAAAAACAAAAACCUCUGGGGAUUGGUGGAUCCAUGGCAGGGCUGUGGGUCACCAGUUUGUGCUGUGGUGUACUGGAGAAAAUCAAGAUGCUUAGCGUGACAUGAGGCUGUCCACGUUCUGUUCCUGCAGGUAUUCUGAUAUAGGUCUCACUCACUAUCCAGUGCCUACAGAAUACUGUUCAUUAAAUACUGAAAGACUGGAAAGUAGUUCACUGCAACUCUUAUCAACAUCAUAUAAUUUUCAUUAUGGCAAAAACCUCCUUAAUUCAGAAUAUCUAAGAAAAAGAGCUAUUUUCAAAGCAUGAAAAACCGAACAGAAUGUUUUUAAACAAACAUAAUUUUUUAUUGUUGUCUGUCUGUACUUGAAUAUAGUAAAACAGUUUCACCAAAACAUCUGCUGCAUAAUAUAUAUACUUAGAAAUUAGAGUUGAAAUUAAAAGUGAAAAAUCUGUCAUGCUAUUUGUUCUUUUCAAACACACCUCAAACUUUUUACUUGUGAUCUGUGCAGUCUUGGUCUGAAGUCUAUACCCAUGUGAAACAGUGAACAGUGACACAGAAAUGCAUGAAGGCCUACUCACCCCGAGUAGAGUGCUUUCAGCCCUUCUUCUCUGCCUAUCCUCACUAAUGCGUGCAACAUUCCUCGGUAUCUAAUUUCCUUAAAUUUUGCAUCAUUCGUCUGGCCUUGAAUCUGGAGCCGUGUCUUGGUUAAAUCAAUUGGAAAUGUACCUUAAAAUUUAAAAAGAAAUUCACUUAAUAAAAAGAAAUUCCACUAAAUAAAGGAUACGUAGUGAUAUAUUACUGAGGAAACAUUCAGACUACAAUAUAAACUAAGAAAGUGAUUAAGAAAUGGCACUUUGCAAUCUUGUUUAUAUUUUUAAAAAUUGAGGAAUCAAAAGAUUAAUAAAACCCAAAAAAUGCAUAGAU
rnacentral:lncRNA from 1 species